GGAAGGGUCGCAUAGUUGGUCUAGUGCGGAGGUCUCGAAAACCUCUGUCGCCUUUUUGGUGACCGUGGGUUCGAAUCCCACCCCUUCCG
rnacentral:tRNA from 1 species